AUGAUGUGUCAAUGUAGCCUCGUUGAUUGUAACAAAUGUACCACUCUGGUGUGGGAUGUUGAUAGUGGGAGGUAUUGUGCGUGUAGGGGCAGAGGGUAUAUAGGAACCCUCUGUACCUUAUCCUUGUUUAUACUCUAAAAAAUAAAGUCUAUUUGGAAAAACAAAAAUGAUAGUGGGAAAACAUGAGGCAUUGAUGGGGAAUAGGAGGGAAGAAGCAUUAGAAGCAUUCCAAGCAAAGGAUAAAAGACUAUAAAUGAGAGAAGAAGGCAAAGUUCCAGGAAAUAAAAGGAUUUCAGUAUGCACAGUGCUAUCCAACAGAACUUUCUGCAAUGAUGGAAAUAUUUUAUAAUCUGUGUUGUCCAAUAUGGUAGCCACUAGACUUACAUGGCUACUGAGCACAUGAGACAUGGCUAGUUUGAUUGAAGAAAUGAUAUUUGUUUUUACUUACUUUUAAUUAAUUUAAAUCUCAAUAGCCAUAUGUGGGUAGCAGAUAGCAUACUGGAUAGUGCAGGAUAGAGCAUGGAGUUGGGGUCCUGUGAAAUAGGGAUGGAGAGUAAUAUAGGAGAGAGAUAGAUACUGGAGGAUCUUCCAGCUAUAUAAAGAAGCAUUAAAUUUAUCCCAAGGAACACGAGAAGCCAAUGACAAGAUUUAAGAGGGAGAGUAACUAACAUGAUUAAUUUCUCUGCUUUUUGGCCUCAGGCUGCAGUGAAAAGAAUGGAUUAGGGUUGGGAUGAUUUUUACCUAGAGACAGGGAUACCAGGGAAAAAGGUAUCAGACAAUCCAGGCAAGAGAUGCCAUGACCCAAAGGGUAGAAAUCAGGGGACUUGUGGACACCUAGGAGGAAGAGGAAAGGAUGGAUUGGAUGUUAGGAACAAGGGAGGUUGAGGGAUGGGUAGACGAGGCUUGAGAAUGAUAGAUGGUGGUGCCAUACACUGAAGAACAGGUCUGAGGAGACAAGGAGUCCAGUCAGGGACUUACUGCGUAUGAGGGGUCCACUAGACACCCAAAUUGGAUGAUACACAUUUGGGAGCCAUGCACAUAUGGAUGGCCACUGAAGCCACAGGAGGGGAUGAGACCAUCCAAGGCAAGUCUGAAAAUGAGAGGAAGAGGACCUGGGACACCCUGAAGAACGCCAAUACACGGACAUGAUUCUUCUGUUUUCAAGCUAGUUUCAUACUCAUUCCUGCAUAUUGUAGCAGCCAUAUUAACCUGCACUCACUGUGUUUUACAUAAAGACCCCAAGCUCGCAGUUGAGCACCCCACAGGUCUCUCUCAACAGGCAAGUAUUUGGGAUUCUCUUCCACCCCACCUUCACUUUCAGGACACACUGACAUAUGAAAAGUAUUAUUCUAAAUUCAGUUUUUUUCCGUUCAGGACACAAUUUCAGCUAAAACAGAGUGAACUCUGAUGCAAAAACCAUUUUACUGGUGACAGAGACUAUAUCAGGGAGGCACAUGUUAAAAGAAGUUAAUAAGAACACAGUCGUCAAAAAACAAUUCACAAGCGUUUCUCUCUCCUUUGAAUUUAUUAUCAAAGAAAUGGCCAGUGCCCUUCCCACAGCUGACGAGCUGUCAAAUAAACUACCAGCAACCAAUCACAUCAUGAAACAAGGGAAUAUAUUGAUUUUAAACAAAAAGCAGAAGCAUAAUACAAACUCUUCUAGCUAAAUACAAACAAUGAUGAUACCAUUGGGGGAAUUCUAGUUUACUGUGCUUUAUCAACAGUUUCUACUAUGCAAAUCAGAGCCUUAAUGGAGGAUGCCGUUGCUCCUACAUAAAGCUCAUGAUCACGCAUGGUAAAGGAAUGGAAGUGCUGCUCUCAAGUAUUUUGGGGUAUCACACUGUCAAAUGCUCUUCUUUGGGGAAGCCUGGCUAAUAAAUUAACUGAGAUAUUACUUAUUGCACCUUAAAUAUUCAUAAAAACUAGCAGGCAAUGCAAGUGUAAGUCUAGGGACCAUUAUGGAUCAUUCGUAUUUCAAGAACCCAACAGACAUUUUUGCAUAAAUAGGUUAAGAUGGACCCUGUGUUGGGUCAUUCUUUCGUUUAACAACCUUUUAUUAAGCAUUUACUACGUAUCAAAGUAUAGAGGAUUUGGAGGAUCAUGUUAAGCAGUUUGGACUUUGCAAGUAUGAAAAAAGAAGGCUUCAAAGUGUUGGGAGAUGAGAUACGGUGUGGUAGUGAGAAGAUCUCUGUUUUUGGAGAGAGAACACUGGCAGCAGAAUCAGGGUGCAAAGAGGCUGGAUUCCUGAGCCCAGUUAUGAGGCUUUUACAUUAACUUGAUGAAAAAAAGAUUAGUGCCUGAAAUUGGGAAGUGGUAGUGGGGAUGGAGAGAGAGGGAUUAAUGAGAAAGAUACUUAGAAGUCAAUAUGGGAACUGAGUAAUAAUUCUGAGGUUAUUCCCUGGGGGGAUUGCGUAGCUGUUUUUGAUCCCAGGAGAUGUCUCUGAAGAUAUUAUUUCUUAGCCUCCAUUUGUGGUACUCUCCUAGAAGUAUCGUGCAAGAGCUAAGCAUUCAUUAGUGGCUUCUUUUGGGAUUACAGUCAUUUCUUCACUGAACAGCCCUGUCAAGUAGUUAAUGAUCUGUAAAACUCUUAACUGAACCCGGAAGAGCUCUUUAAAUUAAUUCUGUAAAUCAAAGGUCCUUCUAUUGUAUUUUGUAAAUUCUGAUUUGCUUUUCUAAAUGAAUUGUCCCCAUCUUUCAGUGUGCAUUUUCUAUUCUCUGGACUGUACAGAAAAUUUUAUUAGUUUUUAAUGCGAUCAAAGGGAAACUGAACUCAACCCAUACUUUUCUAAGAAUCAACAUACCAUAGAUUUUAAAAGCUCGAGUGAAACUAAAUCAGCAGUUGCCAGGAAGCUCUACUCUAUUCCUAAGAUGAUAUUUCUUCUAUUAUUCCUAUUAAUGCUACUGCUAAUAAUUUUACCAUUACUCUUACUAAAACAUACAUCACCAUCGCUCCUAAAACUGGCUUACUUUAUUAAGUGCCUUUACGUACCAGAAACUGUUGCACUUAUUUCAUGUGUGUUGACUCAUUAACUCAUUGCUGACUUAACAAUGUUCAGAACGUCACUCUCAAGAGACUACCACUAUUUUCCCUAUCUGAUUAAUGAGAAGAUUAAGGCACAGAGAGGAGAAAGAACUUGCCCAAGGUUACUCAGCUAUUCAAAGGCUGAGCUGGGAUCCAAUCCUGCUGCAGACUGUUACUCUGGUAGUCACCAAUAAACCACAUCUCUCGGCAUUCCUGCUCUGGUGGAAUGCCCUCUCACCUCAUCCGAGUUUGACCACGUGACUUGCUUUGAACAAAGAGACAUUAGUAUGUGUUAUGCAAGCAGAGGUUUGACAAGCCACUAGCACACUGGUGUUUGCUCAGCUGGGACACUUCUUUUCGGGAUCCAACUGCCAUGUGCUGAAAAGCCCAAACCAAAUUGAGAGGCCACACGGGGGAGAACUGAGGCCCUCCAGUCCCAGCCAACUGCCUGCACCAACUGCCACUGAUGCAAGCGAGUCCUCUCGGCCACUGCAGCCUCAGCCACCACAUGACUGUAACUGCCUGAAAGACUCCACUCGAGACCAGCAGAAGAACUGCCACCUCUCACAACGCAUGAUGCAUAGGAGGCAAUUUCAUAAUGUCGAACAGAUAAAAAACCAAAUGAACCAAUAAAGCAUGGAAAGAUGCUUCAAUUCUUGGAUUCAAAGGUACGUGCACCAUUCCUCCACUGAGAGCUGCAGUCUAUUCUCUCAUGCUCUUGAAGCUGGGCUGGUCUAUAACUGCUUUAAUCGAGAGGAUAUGCCACCUUUGACUUCUAAGAUUAGGUUACAAGAAGACUUGUAGCUUCCACCUGGUGUCUUGGGACACUCACUAUGGGGGAAGCCAACCACCAGCUGUAAAGAUCAAUAACUCCAUAAGUCAGAACCCUUGGUUGGAGAUACAGGCUACCCAGAUCAGUGGUUGAUCCUCAACAAGAACCAAGGAAUUUACAAUGGAGCUUUCAGAAAGAAACUCCUAAUUGGCGGGGAUCAUGCCUCCACUGCAGGUUAUGUCACCAACUCUCCAGUGCCAAACCACGGACAUUUCCACCCCAGGGUAUUUGAUGCAGGGGCUGAAUAUAACAUUUGGCUUCAUCUGUCCUUUGAGUGCUCAGGAAAAUGCUGUGACAGAGGCAUGAGAGGUCCACACUUUUACUCCUGAUUUAGAUGAUUUUCUGAAACAUACCCCCCGAAAGCAUGUUGUUAAGCUACCUCAGGUCCACUCUUGAAACUUUUCUGACUUUAUCUUUCCUAGAGAAGCCUUCUCCCAGCAUCAGCUAGAUGUUGACUUAAACUGACCCGGGAUGGCAACCACACAGAUCCCCAUGCAUAGAGUGGACUGCACCCAGGGCUUUGAUGGAGAAAGACUCCCCAGGCAGCUACUGAUCUAGGAUGCUAAUUAGGCAAGUUUACUUGAUGCCGGAUGACAAAGCUCUUCACAAGGGAAAGACCACCUUGCUUGUGUGUCAGGGCAAGGUACCCUCAGAGACUAUCAAGCUCUGGACAGUGUUAGAGGCACAGCAGGGUGGAAUCCUUGGCAUCUCUGGUCAUUCCUUCUAAAUCUUCAUUGAUUAAGCUUUUGUCUACAUGCGGGAUCAAACAGCCUUUCUUCUGCCUGAUUGAUUUUGAUUUUUCAAUACAUCAUAAUAAACAAUUGCCAAACAAUCAAUUGGAUCACUGCACAGCCAAUUCAAUUUGAUCACCAAGAUCACAUCUGGUUAUUUUACUCAUUUGAAUGACCAAACAGGAUCAACCGUGAAGAAAUUUUGGCUCUUCAGCAAUCAGUUAAUCUCAUAAACUUCUAAACAAGAACCUGAUGAAACACAGUCAAGUUGCGAUGUGUAUAUAUAGGUAUGGCUUAUAUGAUGAGUAAAACACAAAUUUAUAAAAACCACACCAGAAAUCUAUUUUUCUCAUUGCAUCAUUGAAAUAGAUCAAACUGUAAUGUAUUCAGAUUUAACUCUCUCGUGCUUAGAUAGGAGAGUCUCUCGCUACUUUCAGCUUCUGUUUCUGAAAAGUUUUACAUAAAUCAAAUUUUUGCAAAUCAAAUCCUAUUUUAAAUACAUUAACAGAAGUUACUGCUUAAAUUAUGAAUCUGUUUAUAACCAAUGAAUUCCCCUCAAACAUGUCUCUGGUGUAGAGCUGGAAUUUCAUAUACCAGGUUUUGCUUAAGAGUGAGGUUUUGUUGCAAAAUUCUGUGCUUCCCAGAUAAUCUGUAACAAUUUUUAGUAAACUUAAAUUUAUAGUCAGACUCAUUUAUGGAAAAAUGCAUGAAAGCCAUGUUUCUCUAUUUAAAAGAAGUGAGAGGGGACAGCUUGUUUUUUCCUAAUCUGGUAAGUUGGAACCAGAAGGGGGAAAUGUAAAUAUGAGUUCUCUGUCACGCAUAGCACCUUUUGUGAGGAGUUUGAUUAAACAUGAUUGAAAAGAAUAUACUCACGCGCAUUGCCUAAGACGGCAUUUUCUUAAAUGUCAAAGUAAAGUUAAAGUCAAGUAAACAUGAUUUAUGUCCCUCUUCCUAGUACCCAUAAUCUUGUUGUCCACCUAAAUCUUUCUGACACACUCUCUCCAGGUUACCCGGAUCUUUGUCACAUCUCCCAGAAUCCAGGCCCUCUCCUUUCUCACACUUUCACAACAAUCUGCCUCUUGCUGUCCUACGUAAAGAAGCAACCUUUUUUUUUUUUAACGUAUUUUAUAUCAAAUAGAUAAAUGGAUUCUUUGAGGGGAAAGUAUUCAAUAUUUACAUACAUAUGUAAAUAAGUUGUAUACAUACCGUUCUACUGAUGUUUCACUAAUCUCACAAAAGGGAACAAAAUGGAUUCAGAAGACACGGGGAACUUUAAAGAAUCGGCACCAUUAGCAAAAAUCUUAAAUGAAUGAAUAGAAAACAUGGACAAUUUUAGUCACUAAGAAUGUGAACUGUAAUGGGGCUGGCCCCGUGGCCGAGUGGUUAAGUUCGCGUGCUCUGCUGCAGGCGGCCCAGUGUUUCGUUGG